UACGGAGGGUGCGAGCGUUGUCCGGAAUCAUUGGGCGUAAAGGGCGCGUAGGUGGCGGGACAAGCGUGCGGUGAAAGCCUGGGGCUCAACCCCGGGUCGGCCGUGCGAACUGUUUUGCUUGAGCACUGUAGAGGCAGGCGGGAAUUCCGGGUGUAGCGGUGGAAUGCGUAGAGAUCCGGAAGAACACCGGUGGCGAAGGCGGCCUGCUGGGCAGUAGCUGACACUGAGGCGCGACAGCGUGGGGAGCAACAGG
rnacentral:rRNA from 1 species